GGAUGUGCUGAGAGGGACCACCCUGGUGUCUAUACCAAGGUCUGCAUCUUCAAUGACUGGAUUCAGCAAACCAUGGCCAGCUAUUAAGUCCGAUCCUUCAACUUCUUUCCGACUCUGCUGCAAUUCUUCUAUCAUUUUAACUCCAUUGUUGUUGUCGAGUUCUAAACAACUUGCAGUCAGAAGCCACCUAAAUCAAUAAAGUUAUUCACCUUGA